AGAUCUCAAAUCAGGUAGGAUUACCCGCUGAACUUA
rnacentral:rRNA from 1 species